GAUUUAUAAAGAAGAGGGGAGAGAAAAGGCUCUUUGAACCUCUAGCAACCUAUCCUUUUGAGAUAAGGUGCUAAUUCCUUUCCUAAGAUAUUAGGGCAUAUAAAUU
rnacentral:ncRNA from 1 species